UACGAAGGGGGCUAGCGUUGUUCGGAAUUACUGGGCGUAAAGCGUGCGCAGGCGGCCUUACAAGUCAGGGGUGAAAGCCCAGAGCUCAACUCUGGAAUUGCCUUUGAAACUGUUCGGCUCGAGUGCGGGAGAGGUGAGUGGAAUUCCCAGUGUAGAGGUGAAAUUCGUAGAUAUUGGGAAGAACACCGGUGGCGAAGGCGGCUCACUGGCCCGUUUCUGACGCUCAUGCACGAUAGCGUGGGGAU
rnacentral:rRNA from 1 species